AGCCAUCUACCGCGGUCAACAACACUUCCUGAUUGAACAGAAUCACGCGCUGUCUGUGUGGUUUCACUGUUACAAGUUUCUUGGCGAUAUGGGGGGAAAGUUCCUCACAUACCAACGGAAAAUGGGCUUCACAUACAUGCUGCUGUCUCAUAAUAUGGCGAAGACGAGUCACCUGAAGGCCUAACUCGCCAUAGAAGACUGAAAGAAUUGUCCUGCAGGAUGCUGUGUCCUGCAAUCCUGUGUGCUGUGCUACAGACGCGUGUGGAGGUCAACCCAAAAUGGGCACAGUCUCACCACAGAAGAGUGAAAGAGGAUCCUGGCAGGGAGACGGUAGUGUCCUGCAGGAUGGUGAU